GACUACCAGGGUAUCUAAUCCUGUUUGCUCCCCACGCUUUCGCGCCUCAGCGUCAGUAACGGGCCAGUGUGUCGCCUUCGCCACUGGUGUUCUUCCGAAUAUCUACGAAUUUCACCUCUACACUCGGAGUUCCACACACCUCUCCCGUACUCAAGAUAGCCAGUAUUGAAGGCAAUUCCGAGGUUGAGCCCCGGGCUUUCACCCCCAACUUAACUAUCCGCCUACGCGCCCUUUACGCCCAGUAAUUCCGAGCAACGCUAGCCCCCUUCGUAUUACCGCGGCUGCUGGCACGAAGUUAGCCGGGGCUUCUUCUGCGGGUACCGUCAUUAUCGUCCCCGCUGAAAGGAUUUUACAAUCCUAAGGCCUUCAUCAUCCACGCGGCAUGGCUGCGUCAGGCUUUCGCCCAUUGCGCAAGAUUCCCCACUGCAGCCUCCCGUAGG
rnacentral:rRNA from 1 species